rnacentral:rRNA from 1 species
CCUACGGGCGGCAGCAGUAGGGAAUAUUGCACAAUGGGCGAAAGCCUGAUGCAGCAACGCCGCGUGGAGGAAGAAGGGUUUCGGCUCGUAAACUUCUAUUAACAGGGACGAAAAAAAUGACGGUACCUGAAUAAGAAGCCCCGGCUAACUAGGUGCCAGCAGCCGCGGUAAUACGUAGGGGGCAAGCGUUAUCCGGAAUUACUGGGGGGAAAGGGUGAGGAGGGGGGAUGGUAAGACAGAUGUGAAAGCCUUGGGAUUAACCAGAGGAGUGCAUUUGGAACUAUCAAUCUAGAGUACAGGAGAGGAAAGUGGAAUUCCUAGUGUAGGGGUGAAAUGCGUAGAUAUCAGGAAGAAUACCAGUGGCGAAGGCGGCCUUCUGGAACGAAACUGACGCUGAGGCACGAAAGCGUGGGGAGCGAACAGGAUUAGAUACCCCAGUAGUC